AUGCUGCGUGCCGGAUGAAGGCCCUCGGGUCGUAAACGGCUGUCACUCGGGACGAAUUUUGACGGUACCGAGAGAGGAAGUCACGGCUAACUACGUGCCAGCAGCCGCGGUAAUACGUAGGUGGCGAGCGUUAUUCGGAUUUAUUGGGCGUAAAGGGUCCGCAGGGGGCUGUGCAUGUCUGGUGUGAAAUCUCAAGGCUCAACCUUGGAACUGCACUGGAAACUGUACGGCUAGAGUAUCGGAGAGGUAAGUAGAAUUCCUGGUGUAGCGGUGGAAUGCGUAGAUAUCAGGAGGAAUACCGACGGCGAAGGCAGCUUACUGGACGAUAACUAACCCUCAUGGACGAAAGCUAGGGGAGCAAACAGGAUUAGAUACCCUGGUAGUCCUAGCUGUAAACGUUGUGCACUAGGUGUAGGCGGAUUGGUCCCGUCUGUGCCCCAGUUAACGCGAUAAGUGCACCGCCUGGGGAGUACGGCCGCAAGGCUAAAACUCAAAGGAAUUGACGGGGGCCCGCACAAGCGGUGGAGCAUGUGGCUUAAUUCGAGGCAACGCGAAGAACCUUACCUGGGCUUGACAUAUACAGGACCGCCCUGGAAACAGGGUUUCUCUUCGGAGCUUGUAUACAGGUGCUGCAUGGCUGUCGUCAGCUCGUGCCGUGAGGUGUUCGGUUAAGUCCGGCAACGAGCGCAACCCAUACUGUUAGUUGCCAGCGCGUAAUGGCGGGGACUCUAGCAGGACUGCCCGUGCUAAGCGGGAGGAAGGCGUGGACGACGUCAAGUCCGUAUGGCCCUUACGCCCAGGGCUGCACACGUGCUACAAUGGCCGGUCCAGAGGGACGCUACUCCGCGAGGAGACGCCAAUCCCGAAAACCGGCCCCAGUUCGGAUCGUAGUCUGCAACUCGACUACGUGAAGUCGGAAUCGCUAGUAAAGGCGUAUCAGCAACG
rnacentral:rRNA from 1 species